rnacentral:rRNA from 1 species
UACGGAGGGUGCAAGCGUUAUCCGGAUUCACUGGGCUUAAAGGGUGCGUAGGUGGGUUGGUAAGUCAGUGGUGAAAUCUCCAGGCUUAACUUGGAAACUGCCGUUGAUACUAUCUGUCUUGAAUACCGUAGAGGUGAGCGGAAUAUGUCAUGUAGCGGUGAAAUGCUUAGAUAUGACAUGGAACACCAAUUGCGAAGGCAGCUCGCUACACGAAUAUUGACUCUGAGGCACGAAAGCGUGGGGAUCAAACAGG